rnacentral:rRNA from 1 species
GGACUACACGGGUAUCUAAUCCCGUUCGCUCCCCUGGCUUUCGUGUCUCAGUGUCAGCAAACUCCCAGCGAGCUGUUUUCACCAUUGGCGUUCCAAAUGAUAUCUACGCAUUUCACCGCUCCACCAUUUGUUCCGCUCGCCCCUAAGUUGCUCAAGACCAACAGUAUACCAAGCAGUUCCACGGUUAAGCCGUGGGAUUUCACAAGGUACUUAUCAGUCCACCUACACACGCUUUAAGCCCAGUGAUUCCGCCUAACGCUUGGCACCUCUGUCUUACCGCGGCUGCUGGCAC